rnacentral:lncRNA from 13 species
GCUCUUCCACAGGACUGCUAUCCAUUGAGCCCAGGGUGUUAUGUUGAGGCGUAGAACAUAGAGUUACAUAAAAACAGAGCAGCCCACGCAACGGGACCCUGCGUGGGGCUGAGAAAUGAUCACUGCCGAAGCACGCCACACUUAGAAAAAUGAAAAUCGCCCUUUUAUGCAGAAUACAUAUAUUUGUCUGGGGGGAAAAGAAUUAGGCCUGACAAGUACUCAAGCACUUUUAGUUUGUGUGUGUGUGUGUGUGUGUGCGUGCAUGACACAGUCCCGCACUCUCUAAGGCAGUCACGUAGGCACACACACACGCGCACACAUAUUCUCUGUCUGUCUGUCUGUCUGUCUGUCCCUUCAAGGGCCCAGAGACAGCCAAAUGUGCUCCAUGAACAUGACCUCAUUGGGUAUGCACAGGCUUCACUCUUCUGCAUUGUUACAUUCGUUAUCAUCAUCCUCUUAGAUUCUUAGAAAUAAAUGGAAAAUGCCUGAAAAGCGUCAAACGCAUCAACUUAAGUACUGGGGACAAAGCAGCGUGCUCUAAUCAUCCAGUUGUCACGUGGUCAUCAAUUUCCCUUCUUUUGUUGUUUCACCUGUUGCUAAAUUCAAAUAUUUCCACUAAUACGGGCCUAUUACUAAAAAUGAUUAAUCCCAGAGGCACUCAGCUCAACCUUCACUGUAGUGCUAGCUGUCGGCUUCUCUCUCUGUGUCUCUCUCUCUCGCUCCGUCCUCUGAAAGGAAACCUGUGUCAACAGACCUAAUUCAUGUAUCUGUAACAGUGUUUCCAUUUUAAAUCUCUCCAACUAUGUUAAUCUACCAUCUGAGCCUGUGUGAGUCUAAGGAAGUUGAAUGUCAUUAUAGAACAGUGCAAUGUAGAAAUACAGGAUAAACAAAACGUGGCCUAAACUGCUCUGCAUUCCAACUCGAUGUUAAGGGAUAUUUUCUCUAUUAAGAUACUCGUUGCGAGUUGAUUAAAUUUGAAUUAUAUGGUUGUAGAAUGAAUGUGGUCUGGUCAGUGGAGAACAGGCCGCCUGCUAUAAUGGACUGUAGCUACGGCGUCUGAGCGCUAUUUGACUAAUGGCUGCUGAAUCUGUGGUUAGAGUUGAAGUUGUGGUUAUGCAUGAGUGGUAAAGACUGGAAAAAUACAGGAGAGCAACACUGUUGAUGCCUCCUUAAUGGGUAUACUGAAGAGCUAUGCUCAGAGACAAUUCCACAUGUGAAGUUUUGCGGCAUAUCUAAGUGAACUAAUGAUAAGCAAUUGUAGGGGGAAGAAAAUAUAUAGUUGCGUGGUAGGGGAGUGGUAUUCUGAAAACAGUGAGAGAGGCACCUUUCUUAGCUGUUGACACAGACCCCAGAGCUAGAGUCACAUUCUUCUCUCCACACAGCCUUUCAACAACGCAACAUCUCUCCACGCUCUGAUACGCACAUGUCUUUGUUGUAACCAUAGAUGACAUUCAGAACAUUAGCAAGAGAAGGCAUAGUAUGUAAGGAGCAACUCUCAAAUGUUUGUUUUUUUAAUAUAUAACAAACUGAAUCUAAACUGCAAUCAGUGAGGGGUUCAAGCUUCAAGUUAAGAGUCUUGUUAUUAUUGACAAUGCAUCAUCUGGCACAAAGGAGCAAUUACAGAUGAAGUCAAUGAAUGAAGCACAAAAUGACCUGCAUGUCUGCCGCUCUUAAAUUGAGUAAUCGUUCAAAUAAUUGAUAUUUUAUUCUAGCGACGGUCCACAAAGUGUUGAACGAAAGUGUUUGUCUUUUAUUUGUGUGCCAAGGCAACAUUUUCUUGACUGGACCAGGCCUUUCUCUACACACACACAAGGACGGCAAAUGAGAGCAAACCUUCAUCAAAGAGGCCAAGGGACUCAACAAUAGUUCAACCGACUCAGCUCACUCAUUCCCAUACCCUCCUACUAAACAUGUUCUACACUGUAUCUCAACGGAUACCUAGGAUACUCCUCUAUCUCUAAAACCCAACAAAAACACACCUAUCUACAUCCACCUGGUCCCGAGAGAGGUGAAUCUGUAAAGACUAGGAGAUGCGAGUACUACCCACAUCUGCUCCCUUGUUCUCUGUCUACAUACGAGCUAAAACCACCAUUACGUACUGUGUAUUACUGCUUUACAACCUACCAAAAGAGCUACUGCUCAACUGUCAGUGUAAAAGUGUGUGUGUGUGUGUGUAGGUGUGUCUGCCUAUUUGCGUAUGUGAGCGGUGCAAUGGAUCAGCAUGACGUAAAGGGAUGUCAGAAGUCAUAGGAAAACAAGAAUCACUAAGUGUCAAAAACAAGGAUUUGGCAUCUUAUUUGACAGUUUUAAGAGGGAAACAGUCUCUCCCGCUUCCAACAUCAACUUUUACAAAAUCACUGAAGGAGAAAGACCACUUAAAUAUCUGGAAGAAAAUAGAGAGUUUCUUAUGAAGCCCACUCUCAAUACCCCAACCCCNNNNNNNNNNGUUGACUACCUCAGGAUACACGGUAUCCAGUUAACAAGUUGAUCCUCAUUUCCCAAGUUAACGUGUGUACAGAAUAAACCAUGGUAAUAAUAGUAGCAAUAAUGAUAAAGAGUAGUACGGGCAAUUAUUAUAGAAUACAAUUAAAGCUGGUCUUCCCCAAAAAAAGUGUAGGCUAUGACGUUGCUGAUGAAAGGCGGCCAUCUUGGAUUGAACUGUGGCGUUCUGGUGAAAAUUAGUACCUCAAUAAAUG